UUUACUCAUACGGGAGGCAGCAGUAGGGAAUAUUGGUUAAUGUGCGAAAGCGCGAACCAGCAACGCCGCGUGUGCGAUGAAGGCCUUCGGGUCGUAAAGCACUUUUUGCAGGGAAGAGGAAGGACGGUACCUGCAGAAUAAGUCUCGGCUAACUACGUGCCAGCAGCCGCGGUAAAACGUAGGAGACGAGCGUUAUCCGGAUUUACUGGGCGUAAAGCGCGUGCAGGCGGCAUGGCAAGUUGGAUGUGAAAGCUCCCGGCUUAACUGGGAGAGGUCGUUCAAUACUGCCAGGCUUGAGAGUGGUAGAGGGAAGCGGAAUUCCGGGUGUAGUGGUGAAAUGCGUAGAUAUCCGGAGGAACACCAGUGGCGAAAGCGGCUUCCUGGCCCAUUUCUGACGCUCAGACGCGAAAGCUAGGGUAGCAAACGGGAUUAGAGACCCCGGUAGUCCUAGCCGUAAACGAUGUGAACUUGGCGUUGGCGGGUUUAAAUCCGUCAGUGCCGUAGCUAACGCGAUAAGUUCACCGCCUGGGGACUACGGCCGCAAGGUUAAAACUCAAAGGAAUUGACGG
rnacentral:rRNA from 1 species